rnacentral:misc_RNA from 1 species
GAUUAAGAACGCAGCGAAAUGCGAUAAGUAAUGUGAAUUGCAGAAUUCAGUGAAUCAUCGAAUCUUUGAACGCACAUUGCGCCCCUUGGUAUUCCGAGGGGCAUGCCUGUUCGAGCGUCAUUAUAACCCCUCAAGCUCAGCUUGGUGUUGGGGCCUGCUGCACUGGCAGCCCUUAAAAUCAGUGGCGGCGCCAUCUGGCUCUAAGCGUAGUAAUUCUUCUCGCUAUGGAGUCCUGGUGGAUGCUUGCCAUCAACCCCCAAUUUUUCUAUGGUUGACCUCGGAUCAGGUAGGGAUACCCGCUGAACUUAAGCAUAUCAAUAAGCGGAGGA